rnacentral:rRNA from 1 species
GUAGGUGGCAAGCGUUGUCCGGAAUUAUUGGGCGUAAAGCGCGCGCAGGCGGUUCUUUAAGUCUGAUGUGAAAGCCCACGGCUCAACCGUGGAGGGUCAUUGGAAACUGGAGAACUUGAGUACAGAAGAGGAAAGCGGAAUUCCACGUGUAGCGGUGAAAUGCGUAGAGAUGUGGAGGAACACCAGUGACGAAGGCGGCUUUCUGGUCUGUAACUGACGCUGAGGCGCGAAAGCGUGGGGAGCAAACAGGAUUAGAUACCCUGGUAGUCCACGCCGUAAACGAUGAGUGCUAAGUGUUAGGGGGGUUUUCCGCCCCCCUUAGUGCUGCAGCUAACGCAUUAAGCACUCCGCCUGGGAGUACGGCCGCAAGGCUG